GGCUCGGUGAGCAGAAAUGACUUCAAAAAAAGUUUUGACUAGCAGUGCAAGUUUUAUUUAUUUUUUACUCAGACACUUCAAAGGGAGAUCUAAGAACCUCAGUGCAGGAAUUUCCCUAUAAGCAAAAGUGAAGAAAUGUGUGACCAUAGGCCUACUUGGAAAUUGUGCUCUACAUUUCACCCACCCACAAUGCAGUGAACGGGUUUUUACACAGUCGUGAUAUUGAGGGAUGAAGCGAGCGCUGCUCAACCCACAUAAAAUUCCUGAGAUACUGAGUCUCAAACCCGCAACCGUCAUCAGUACAUUUACAUCUACAUUUAGAUUUAGUCAAUUAAUUUAGGUAAUUCCACCAGGAGCGAAUAUUUAAUUUAAAAGUCCAAACAGAACAAGAGCUUGAACAAAGAGUUGUGCAGCAUGUUCAGAAAGAAAGGGCUUGAUCUUCUUGAUGUUGAAUAAAGCAAAUCUGCAGGAACGGAAAGUAUUAGCAAUGUGGUCUAAGAAAGUCAGCUGAUCAUCAAUCAUAACUCCAAGGCUUCUGUUUUUGGUUGAUUUGCCUAACUUGAUGGCGAAAUUGGAUCGAAUGGGAUUGAAUGAGAGGUAGAGUUGAGUGUCAUCAGCAUAGCAGUGGUAUGAAAAGCCAUGUUUCUGAAUGACAGAACCUAAUGAUGCCAUGUAGACUGAGAAGAGAAGUGGUCCAAGAACUGAGCAUUACAAGUUCAACUCUCUAACUAUUAGCCAUGACUGUAAACUCAUCACAAUAUCAUAACACUGUAUUGUACGACACAUGAAGGGUAUUUUAUUAGUAAUUCCGGACACAAGGAUGUUAAAUAUUAUCUUUUUUUAACAGAUAAUGGGAAAAAAAUACAAAAAAUCAUUAAUGGCAGAAGAUCUGUAGAGCAUCAAAAAAUGAAAGAAAAUGAAAUGGACAGAAAAAGAAAAAAGGCAAACCAAGAGAGCAAGAGACAAUCUUCAGGACCAGGAGAGAAGCAGACGCUGAGACUAACCAGAAGAAACAGCAUUAAUAGUGGAAUACCAAACUUUUGUGAUGAUCCAGACAGUUUUAUUCUGAGUGACUCUCAGACGAGACAGGAGCAGCAUCUAUAGCAGGUGAUGGGUGCUGAUAGUUUACACUGAAUCCAAACUGUGGGAUUUACAACAUUUAAGGUGCUUCUUCCAAAUCACAGUCAUUUCACUGGGUUUGGACAUGUAAGAGCAGCUCAUAUCUCUUUGAAAGUGACAGAGACAUGACAUACAGCCAGAUAUGUGACCCAUACACACACCUGAAGAAGUGGGCAGCCAUUUAUACUGCAGUAACGAAGGGGGAGGGGCUAUCAGACAUUAUGAAUGUCUCAAUAACCUUAUAUAAUUCAUACACUACAUGGUUGAGUACAUAGUACACAGUGUAUGAGUGCAUAGUGUGUAUUGUGUCAAUUGUGUAAUUGGGACACAGCUAUAGACUGUAAAAAAGAUGGAUGACACACCUACAUUCACUUCCGAUGAAAAAAAGUGAAGCCACCAUUUUUUUUACAUGUACUUUUACAUUUUUUAUAUACUUGUGUGUUGACUGUGCAAAAAAAAAAAGACUGAUGUUUCAUUUCUUGCCUCAAAACGUCCCUUUUCAUCAUGCAGAACAACAUUCGCUCAGAAUGACUCAGUAAAGAUUUUUUUCCAAGAAAUUGACUAUAGUUUUGACUAAACUAAAUCUUAAGAAGAUAAAGCAUACUCUGAUUCUCCAUAUGAUAAAAGAAGGAUGUUGUGUUCGAGACAAAAUAAAAGAAGCAUGGAUUCAUCUGUACAUCAUAACCUUCAUAAAUGUUUAAACCUUGUUUAACCCUUUCAGACCUGAUAGAUGCAGAGUGAGAUCUCAUACAGUUUAUUAUUAUUAGUUUAGUUUAUCAUACAAUGAAGUGUUGCUCUUUACAGAAGAGUAGCACAGCUCAGAAAAUCACAUGCACAAGAAAAUCUGCUUUAGGAUUGACUUUAUAAGAGAA